AAUGGGUGGGGUUGUUGCAGGUGCACCCCCUAGAAUGGCAUGCAGCUCACCAUUUCUGCGGGAUUCCUGGGGCUCUGACUCGGAACAGCUGUUUGGCUCU